CUUGGGACACGCCCGCUGUUGAGUCACCAAAGAGGGCGUGUCCUCUCUCCCUGGACGCGCCCCCAAUGCCUAAGCCUCGAGGACCGGAUCCAAAUAGGCCUUGGUUGGGGUGGCAGGUGUGUGGUUUCCCCGGGAAGUGGAGGGUUGUGGAAUAUUUGUACACUGUGUGAAGACGUAUUUCUGUGAUUGGUGUAAUAAAAAACUGAAUGGCCAAUAGCUAGGCGGGAGACUUCUGGGCAGAGAAGAACACUGGGACGGAGAAAGGUGGAGUCGCCAGCUGGAAGCAGAGGAAGCAGGACUUGCAGGAGGAGAGGUGGUUCUGUAUUAUGCCAAGUCAACAAUCAAAACUUCACCAUCACAGUGAGCAACAAAGGGAUGGUUCAGUGUCUACCACUUCUCAGUCUUGGUGGGCUCCAUUCCAUAUGUCCCAGGGGAGGGGCAUGUCUGGUGACACCAAUAGGUGUAGUGGGUAGCUGUUCCAGCUUUGACCUGGAAGUACUACCCCCAUUGAGGCUUCCGGUAACUGUCAUGCCUAUGAGGCAGGGUGGAAA